rnacentral:rRNA from 1 species
CCUACGGGAGGCAGCAGUGGGGAAUAUUGGACAAUGGGGGGAACCCUGAUCCAGCCAUGCCGCGUGUGUGAAGAAGGCCUUAUGGUUGUAAAGCACUUUAAGCGAGGAGGAGGCUCUCUUGGUUAAUACCCAAGAAGAGUGGACGUUACUCGCAGAAUAAGCACCGGCUAACUCUGUGCCAGCAGCCGCGGUAAUACAGAGGGUGCGAGCGUUAAUCGGAUUUACUGGGCGUAAAGCGUGCGUAGGCGGCUUUUUAAGUCGGAUGUGAAAUCCCCGAGCUUAACUUGGGAAUUGCAUUCGAUACUGGGAAGCUAGAGUAUGGGAGAGGAUGGUAGAAUUCCAGGUGUAGCGGUGAAAUGCGUAGAGAUCUGGAGGAAUACCGAUGGCGAAGGCAGCCAUCUGGCCUAAUACUGACGCUGAGGUACGAAAGCAUGGGGAGCAAACAGGAUUAGAUACCCUGGUAGUCCAUGCCGUAAACGAUGUCUACUAGCCGUUGGGGCCUUUGAGGCUUUAGUGGCGCAGCUACGCGAUAAGUAGACCGCCGNGGGAGGUACGGUCGCGAGAACGUAAACGUUAAAGUAGUAGUUAGACGGCGUAGAGACGUUGCCGACGGACGACGACGAGGGAGGAGG